AGAUUGAACGCUGGCGGCAGGCCUAAUACAUGCAAGUCGAGCGGCCACUUCGGUGGCAGCGGCGGACGGGUGAGUAACGCGUGGGAAUGUGCCCUUUGGUACGGAACAACUGAGGGAAACUUCAGCUAAUACCGUAUGUGCCCUUCGGGGGAAAGAUUUAUUGCCAUUGGAGCAGCCCGCGUUGGAUUAGCUAGUUGGUGGGGUAAAGGCCCACCAAGGCGACGAUCCAUAGCUGGUCUGAGAGGAUGAUCAGCCACACUGGGACUGAGACACGGCCCAGACUCCUACGGGAGGCAGCAGUAGGGAAUCUUGCGCAAUGGGCGAAAGCCUGACGCAGCCAUGCCGCGUGAAUGAUGAAGGUCUUAGGAUUGUAAAAUUCUUUACACCGGGAAGAUAAUGACGGUACCCGGAGAAGAAGCCCCGGACUAACUUCGUGCCAGGACGCCGC
rnacentral:rRNA from 1 species